rnacentral:rRNA from 1 species
CGGGACGGGUGAGUAACGCGUGGAUAACCUGCCUCACACUGGGGGAUAACGGUUAGAAAUGACUGCUAAUACCGCAUAAGCGCACAGUACCGCAUGGUACAGUGUGAAAAACUCCGGUGGUGUGAGAUGGAUCCGCGUCUGAUUAGCCAGUUGGCGGGGUAACGGCCCACCAAAGCGACGAUCAGUAGCCGACCUGAGAGGGUGACCGGCCACAUUGGGACUGAGACACGGCCCAA